rnacentral:rRNA from 1 species
CGUACGCUUCUUUUUCCACCGGAGCUUGCUCCACCGGAAAAAGAGGAGUGGCGAACGGGUGAGUAACACGUGGGUAACCUGCCCAUCAGAAGGGGAUAACACUUGGAAACAGGUGCUAAUACCGUAUAACAAUCGAAACCGCAUGGUUUUGAUUUGAAAGGCGCUUUCGGGUGUCACUGAUGGAUGGACCCGCGGUGCAUUAGCUAGUUGGUGAGGUAACGGCUCACCAAGGCCACGAUGCAUAGCCGACCUGAGAGGGUGAUCGGCCACAUUGGGACUGAGACACGGCCCAAACUCCUACGGGAGGCAGCAGUAGGGAAUCUUCGGCAAUGGACGAAAGUCUGACCGAGCAACGCCGCGUGAGUGAAGAAGGUUUUCGGAUCGUAAAACUCUGUUGUUAGAGAAGAACAAGGAUGAGAGUAACUGUUCAUCCCUUGACGGUAUCUAACCAGAAAGCCACGGCUAACUACGUGCCAGCAGCCGCGGUAAUACGUAGGUGGCAAGCGUUGUCCGGAUUUAUUGGGCGUAAAGCGAGCGCAGGCGGUUUCUUAAGUCUGAUGUGAAAGCCCCCGGCUCAACCGGGGAGGGUCAUUGGAAACUGGGAGACUUGAGUGCAGAAGAGGAGAGUGGAAUUCCAUGUGUAGCGGUGAAAUGCGUAGAUAUAUGGAGGAACACCAGUGGCGAAGGCGGCUCUCUGGUCUGUAACUGACGCUGAGGCUCGAAAGCGUGGGGAGCAAACAGGAUUAGAUACCCUGGUAGUCCACGCCGUAAACGAUGAGUGCUAAGUGUUGGAGGGUUUCCGCCCUUCAGUGCUGCAGCUAACGCAUUAAGCACUCCGCCUGGGGAGUAC